rnacentral:rRNA from 1 species
AGAGUUUGAUCAUGGCUCAGGACGAACGCUGGCGGCGCGCCUAACACAUGCAAGUCGAACGAGUGAGAGAGAGCUUGCUUUCUCAAGCGAGUGGCGAACGGGUGAGUAACGCGUGAGGAACCUGCCUUCCAGAGGGGGACAACAGUUGGAAACGACUGCUAAUACCGCAUGAUGCAUGACCGGGGCAUCCCGGACAUGCCAAAGAUUUUAUCGCUGGAAGAUGGCCUCGCGUCUGAUUAGCUAGAUGGCAGGGUAACGGCCUACCAUGGCGACGAUCAGUAGCCGGACUGAGAGGUUGACCGGCCACAUUGGGACUGAGAUACGGCCCAG